rnacentral:pre_miRNA from 1 species
AGUGGGAUAGCUGGGUCAAAUGGUGGUGUCAUUCCAGGCUUUUUAAGGAAUCUCCAUACUGCUUUCCACAGUGGUUUCAUCAAUUUGCAGUCCUACCAGCAAU